rnacentral:rRNA from 1 species
UACAGAGGUCCCGAGCGUUGUUCGGAUUCACUGGGCGUAAAGGGUGCGUAGGUGGCAAGGUAAGUUUGAUGUGAAAUCUCCGAGCUUAACUCGGAAAAUGCAUUGAAUACUAUCUGGCUAGAGGUUUGGAGGGGGGACUGGAAUUCUUGGUGUAGCAGUGAAAUGCGUAGAUAUCAGGAGGAACUCCGGUGGCGAAGGCGGGUCUCUGGGCCGAUACUGACGCUGAGGAGCGAAAGCGUGGGGAGCGAACAGG